GGUCAAGUUAUUAAGGGUGCAGGGCGGAUGCCUUGGCACUAGGAGCCGAUGAAGGACGUGAUAAGCUGCGAUAAGCUUCGGGGAGUUGCACGUAAACUUUGAUCCGAAGAUUUCCGAAUGAGGAAACUCACUUAGAGUAAUGUCUAAGUAUCAUUAAGUGAAUACAUAGCUUAAUGAGGGGAACUCAGGGAACUGAAACAUCUAAGUACCUGAAGGAAGAGAAAGAAAUUCGAUUCCGUAAGUAGCGGCGAGCGAACGCGGAUUAGCCCAAACCAAUAAAGUUUUCUUUAUUGGGGUUGCGGACAUAUCAUAACGAAGAGGUAUCGUAAUUGAAGAGGUUUGGAAAGACCCACCACAGAAGGUAAUAGUCCUGUAUGUUAAACGAGAAGACUUUAGAUAUGAUCCAGAGUACCACGGGACACGUGAAACCCUGUGGGAAGCAGGAGGGACCACCCUCCAAGGCUAAAUACUACCUAGUGACCGAUAGCGUAUAGUACCGUGAGGGAAAGGUGAAAAGAACCCCGGGAGGGGAGUGAAAUAGAACCUGAAACCCUGCACUUACAAGCUGUGGAAGCACAUUUCUUGUGUGACCGCGUACUUUUUGUAGAACGGGCCAACGAGUUACGUUAAGUAGCAAGGUUAAGCACUUAAGGUGCGGAGCCGUAGCGAAAGCGAGUUUUAACUGAGCGUUCAGUUACUUGACGUAGACCCGAAACCGGGCGACCUACCCAUGAGCAGGAUGAAGCGAAAGUAAAAUUUCGUGGAGGUCCGAACCCACGAGCGUUGAAAAGCUCGGGGAUGACUUGUGGGUAGCGGUGAAAUUCCAAUCGAGCCCGGAGAUAGCUGGUUCUCCCCGAAAUAGCUUUAGGGCUAGCCUCAAGGUGAGAGAUACGGAGGUAGAGCACUGAAUGUCCUAGGGGGUAUUGCACCUACCGAAGACUAUCAAACUCCGAAUGCCGUCAUCUUAUACUUGGGAGUCAGACUGUGGGUGAUAAGAUUCAUAGUCGAAAGGGCAACAGCCCAGAUCGUCAGCUAAGGUCCCUAAAUGUAAGUUAAGUGGUAAAGGAUGUGGGAUUGCACAGACAACCAGGAUGUUGGCUUAGAAGCAGCCACUCAUUCAAAGAGUGCGUAAUAGCUCACUGGUCGAGUGAUCCUGCGCCGAAGAUUUCCGGGGCUAAAACUUACUACCGAAGCUACGGCAUCAGUAAUGAUGGGUAGGGGAGCUUCCCAUACGGGUUGAAGCAUGACCGUAAGGACAUGUGGACAGUAUGGGAGUGAGAAUGUUGGCAUGAGUAGCGAGAUGUGGGUGAGAAUCCCACAGGCCGUAAACCCAAGGUUUCCAGGGGAAGGUUCGUCCGCCCUGGGUUAGUCGGGACCUAAGCUGAGGCCGAAAGGCGUAGGUGAUGGACAACAGGUUGAUAUUCCUGUACUACCGAUAACCGUUUGAGAGAAGGGAUGACACAGUAGGAUAAGCUAAGCACACUGUUGGUUAUGUGUGCCCAAGCAUUGAGGCAGUCAAAGUAGGCAAAUCCGCUUUGAUAAUGCUGGGAUGUGAUGGGGAGCGAAAUUUAGUAGCGAAGUAGCUGAUUUCACACUGUCAAGAAAAGUCUCUAUCGAGGUUAAAGGUACCCGUACCGCAAACCGACACAGGUGGGUGAGGAGAGUAUCCUAAGGCCAGCGAGAGAACUGUUGUUAAGGAACUCGGCAAAAUGACCCCGUAACUUAGGGAUAAGGGGUGCCACCAUCAGGUGGCCGCAGAGAAUAGGCCCAAGCGACUGUUUACCAAAAACAUAGGUUUCUGCUAAGUCGCAAGACGAUGUAUAGGAGCUGACGCCUGCCCGGUGCUGGAAGGUUAAGGGGAUCUGUUAGAGCAAUCGAAGCAGUGAACUUAAGCCCCAGUAAACGGCGGCCGUAACUAUAACGGUCCUAAGGUAGCGAAAUUCCUUGUCGGGUAAGUUCCGACCCGCACGAAAGGCGUAACGAUUUGGGCACUGUCUCAACAACAGACUCGGUGAAAUUGUAAUUCCGGUGAAGAUGCCGGAUACCUGCGACAGGACGGAAAGACCCCAUGGAGCUUUACUGUAGCUUGACAUUGGGUCUUGGUACUACAUGUACAGGAUAGGUGGGAGGCUUUGAAACCAGGACGCCAGUUUUGGCGGAGCCAUCCUUGGGAUACCACCCUUGUAGUACUGGGACUCUAACCAUAGGCCAUGAAUCUGGUCUUGGGACACUGUCAGGUGGGCAGUUUGACUGGGGCGGUCGCCUCCCAAAAGGUAACGGAGGCGCUCAAAGGUUCUCUCAGUACGGUCGGAAAUCGUACGUAGAGUGUAAAGGCAAAAGAGAGCUUGAUUGCAAGACAUACAGGUCGAGCAAGGAUGAAAAUCGGACUUAGUGAUCCGGUGGUUCUGCGUGGAAGGGCCAUCGCUCAACGGAUAAAAGCUACCCUGGGGAUAACAGGCUUAUCUCCCCCAAGAGUCCACAUCGACGGGGAGGUUUGGCACCUCGAUGUCGGCUCAUCACAUCCUGGGGCUGUAGUAGGUCCCAAGGGUUGGGCUGUUCGCCCAUUAAAGUGGUACGCGAGCUGGGUUCAGAACGUCGUGAGACAGUUCGGUCCCUAUCCGUCGCAGGCGUAGGAAAUUUGAGAAGACCUGUCCUUAGUACGAGAGGACCGGGAUGGACGUACCUCUGGUGUACCAGUUGUUCUGCCAAGGGCAUGGCUGGGUAGCUAUGUACGGAAUGGAUAAGCGCUGAAAGCAUCUAAGCGCGAAGCCAACUUCAAGAUAAGAUUUCCCACCGCAAGGGUAAGACCCCAGAAAGACUAUCUGGUUGAUAGGUCGAAGGUGUAAGUGCAGCAAUGUAUUUAGCUUAUCGAUACUAAUAGGUCGAGGACUUGACCAA
rnacentral:rRNA from 3 species